AGUGAACGCUGGCGGUAGGCCUAACACAUGCAAGUCGAACGGCAGCACAGUAAGAGCUUGCUCUUACGGGUGGCGAGUGGCGGACGGGUGAGGAAUACAUCGGAAUCUACUUUUUCGUGGGGGAUAACGUAGGGAAACUUACGCUAAUACCGCAUACGACCUACGGGUGAAGGCAGGGGAUCUUCGGACCUUGCGCGAUUGAAUGAGCCGAUGUCGGAUUAGCUAGUUGGCGGGGUAAAGGCCCACCAAGGCGACGAUCCGUAGCUGGUCUGAGAGGAUGAUCAGCCACACUGGAACUGAGACACGGUCCAGACUCCUACGGGAGGCAGCAGUGGGGGAUAUUGGACAAUGGGCGCAAGCCUGAUCCAGCCAUACCGCGUGGGUGAAGAAGGCCUUCGGGUUGUAAAGCCCUUUUGUUGGGAAAGAAAAGCAGCAGGUUAAUACCCCGCUGUUCUGACGGUACCCAAAGAAUAAGCACCGGCUAACUUCGUG
rnacentral:rRNA from 1 species